GGCGAACGGGUGAGUAAUGCAUCGGAACGUGCCCAGUCGUGGGGGAUAACGCAGCGAAAGUUGUGCUAAUACCGCAUACGAUCUAUGGAUGAAAGCGGGGGACCUUCGGGCCUCGCGCGAUUGGAGCGGCCGAUGUUAGAUUAGGUAGUUGGUGGGGUAAAGGCUCACCAAGCCAACGAUCUAUAGCUGGUCUGAGAGGACGACCAGCCACACUGGAACUGAGACACGGUCCAGACUCCUACGGGAGGCAGCAGUGGGGAAUUUUGGACAAUGGGCGAGAGCCUGAUCCAGCAAUACCGCGUGCAGGAAGAAGGCCCUCGGGUUGUAAACUGCUUUUGUACGGAACGAAACGGCGCGCUCUAAUAAAGUGCGCUAAUGACGGUACCGUAAGAAUAAGCACCGGCUAACUACGUGCCAGCAGCCGCGGUAAUACGUAGGGUGCAAGCGUUAAUCGGAAUUACUGGGCGUAAAGCGUGC
rnacentral:rRNA from 1 species